GGGCUGUAUGUAGCUCAGUGGUGGAGCAUCUGCUUUGAAUGCAGAAGGUCCCAGGUUCAAUCCCCAGGAAGGGGUGGUUCA